rnacentral:rRNA from 1 species
UACGAAGGGGACUAGCGUUGUUCGGAAUCACUGGGCGUAAAGCGCACGUAGGCGGAUAUGUCAGUCGGGGGUGAAAUCCCGGGGCUCAACCUCGGAACUGCCUUUGAUACAGCAUGUCUUGAGUCCGAUAGAGGUGGGUGGAAUUCCUAGUGUAGAGGUGAAAUUCGUAGAUAUUAGGAAGAACACCGGUGGCGAAGGCGGCCCACUGGAUCGGUACUGACGCUGAGGUGCGAAAGCGUGGGGAGCAAACAGG